AGAAUCAACGCUGGCGGCGUGCCUAACACAUGCAAGUCGAACGCGAAAGUCCCGCAAGGGGCAAGUAGAGUGGCAAACGGGUGAGUAACACGUGGGUGACCUGCCUCCGAGUGGGGGAUAACGUCCCGAAAGGGACGCUAAUACCGCAUAACAUCCUGCCUUUGGAAAGGCGGAGAUCAAAGCUGGGGAUCGCAAGACCUGGCGCUUGAAGAGGGGCCCGCGCCUGAUUAGCUAGUUGGUGAGGUAACGGCUCACCAAGGCGACGAUC
rnacentral:rRNA from 1 species